GACGAACGCUGGCGGCGUGCUUAACACAUGCAAGUCGAACGGAAAGGCCCUGCUUUUGUGGGGUGCUCGAGUGGCGAACGGGUGAGUAACACGUGAGUAACCUGCCCUUGACUUUGGGAUAACUUCAGGAAACUGGGGCUAAUACCGGAUAGGAUCUCCUGCUGCAUGGUGGGGGUUGGAAAGUUUCGGCGGUUGGGUAUGGUCUCGCUGCUUAUCAGCUUGUUGGUGGGGUAGUGGCUUACCAAGGCUUUGACGGGUAGCCGGCCUGAGAGGGUGACCGGCGACAUUGGGACUGAGAUACGGAGCAGAAUGCUACGGGAGGCAGCAGUGGGGAAUAUUGCACAAUGGGCGGAAGCCUGAUGCAGCAACGCCGCGUGCGGGAUGACGGCCUUCGGGUUGUAAACAGCUUUCGAAUGUGACGAAGAGUGAGUGACGGUAAUGGGUAAAGAAGCACCGGCUAACUACGUG
rnacentral:rRNA from 1 species